ensembl:rRNA 5S_rRNA 5S ribosomal RNA
GUCUACAGCCAUACCACCCUGAACAUGCUUGAUCUCAUCUGAUCUCGGAAGCUAAGCAGGGUCGGGCCUGGUUAUUACUUGGAUGGGAGAUAAAAAGAGCAUUUACAGAAGUAGUAGCAG